GACGGAGGGUGCAAGCGUUGUUCGGAUUGACUGGGCGUAAAGGGCGUGUAGGCGGUUGCCCAAGUCCGAUGUGAAAGCCCGAGGCUUAGCCUCGGAAGUGCAUCGGAAACUAGGCAGCUGGAGCGCGAUAGAGGAGGGUAGAAUUCCUGGUGUAGCGGUGAAAUGCGUAGAUAUCAGGAGGAAUACCGGCGGCGAAGGCGGCCCUCUGGAUCGUUGCUGACGCUGAGACGCGAAAGCGUGGGGGAGCAAACAGG
rnacentral:rRNA from 1 species